rnacentral:rRNA from 1 species
CCGGAGGAAGGUGGGGAUGACGUCAAAUCAUCAUGCCCCUUAUGACCUGGGCUACACACGUGCUACAAUGGACAGAACAAAGGGCUGCGAGACCGCAAGGUUUAGCCAAUCCCAUAAAUCUGUUCUCAGUUCGGAUCGCAGUCUGCAACUCGACUGCGUGAAGCUGGAAUCGCUAGUAAUCGCGGAUCAGCAUGCCGCGGUGAAUACGUUCCCGGGCCUUGUACACACCGCCCGUCACACCACGAGAGU